GAUGAAGAACGCAGCGAAAUGCGAUACGUAAUGUGAAUUGCAGAAUUCAGUGAAUCAUCGAGUCUUUGAACGCACAUUGCGCCCCCUGGUAUUCCGGGGGGCAUGCCUGUCCGAGCGUCAUUGCUGCCCUCAAGCACGGCUUGUGUGUUGGGCCUCCGUCCUCCUCCCGGGGGACGGGCCCGAAAGGCAGCGGCGGCACCGCGUCCGGUCCUCGAGCGUAUGGGGCUUCGUCACCCGCUCUUGUAGGCCGGCCGGCGCUUGCCGACACAUCAAUCUUUUUUCCAGGUUGACCUCGGAUCAGGUAGGGAUACCCGCUGAACUUAAGCAUAUCAAUAAGCGGAGGA
rnacentral:misc_RNA from 1 species